rnacentral:rRNA from 1 species
AGAGUUUGAUCCUGGCUCAGAGUGAACGCUGGCGGCGUGGAUUAGGCAUGCAAGUCGAACGCGAAAGCACGACUUCGGUUGUGCGAGUAGAGUGGCGAAAGGGUGAGUAAUGCUUGGAUGACCUGCCCUCAAGACGGGGACAACAGCUCGAAAGGGCUGCUAAUACCCGAUGGUCUCCACGGGAUGCGUCCCGUGGAGUAAAUGGUGCUUCCGCUUGAGGAGGGGUCCAAGUCCUAUCAGCUUGUUGGUGAGGUAACGGCUCACCAAGGCAAUGACGGGUAGCCGGACUGAGAGGUUGGCCGGCCACAUGGGAACUGAGACACUGUCCUGACUCCUACGGGAGGCUGCAGUCGAGAAUCUUCUGCAAUGGGCGAAAGCCUGACAGAGCGACGCCGCGUGGAGGACGAAGGCCUUCGGGUCGUAAACUCCUGUCACAAGUUAUGAAAGGCACAGGUCUACCUGUGUCCUGACAAAGGCUUGAGAGGAAGUCACGGCUAACUUCGUGCCAGCAGCCGCGGUAAGACGAAGGUGGCAAGCGUUACUCGGAUUUACUGGGCAUAAAGCGCGCGUAGGCGGCUUGGUCAGUCGGAGGUGAAAGCCCGCAGCUCAACUGCGGAACUGCCCCCGAUACUGCCAGGCUUGAGUCCGGGAGGGGUAAUCGGAACUCCAGGUGUAGCGGUGAAAUGCGUAGAUAUCUGGAGGAACACCAGAGGCGAAGGCGGAUUACUGGACCGGUACUGACGCUAAGGCGCGAAAGCUAGGGGAGCAAACAGGAUUAGAUACCCUGGUAGUCCUAGCUGUAAACGAUGGGCACUAGGCUGCGGAGGUCCGAUGCCGUCGCAGCCGGAGCAAAUGUGUUAAGUGCCCCGCCUGGGGAGUACGACCGCAAGG